rnacentral:rRNA from 1 species
CAGUAGUCACGUAGUUUGACUCCUGGCUCAGAACGAACGCUGGCGGCAUGCCUAACACAUGCAAGUCGAACGAACCCUUCGGGGUUAGUGGCGCACGGGUGCGUAACGCGUGGGAAUCUGCCCAAAGGUUCGGAAUAACACAGAGAAAUUUGUGCUAAUACCGGAUAAUGUCUUCGGACCAAAGAUUUAUUACCUUUGGAUGAGCCCGCGUUGGAUUAGCUUGUUGGUGAGGUAACGGCUCACCAAGGCGACGAUCUAUAGUUGGUCUGAGAGGAUGAUCAGCCACACUGGGACUGAGACACGGCCCAGACUCCUACGGGAGGCAGCAGUGGGGAAUAUUGGACAAUGGGCGAAAGCCUGAUCCAGCAAUGCCGCGUGAGUGAUGAAGGCCUUAGGGUUGUAAAGCUCUUUUACCAGGGAUGAUAAUGACAGUACCUGGAGAAUAAGCUCCGGCUAACUCCGUG